GAUGAACGCUGGCGGCGUGCCUAAUACAUGCAAGUCGAGCGCGAGAGUGAGGAGCUUGCUCCUCAUGAUCGAGCGGCGGACGGGUGAGUAACACGUAGGCAACCUACCCUUGAGAUUGGGAUAACUACCGGAAACGGUAGCUAAUACCGGAUACGACUUUUCCACAUAAGUGGAAUGGUUAAAAGGCGGAUUUAUCUGCCGCUCAUGGAUGGGCCUGCGGUGCAUUAGCUAGUUGGUGGGGUAGUGGCUCACCAAGGCGAUGAUGCAUAGCCGACCGGAGAGGGUGAUUGGCCACACUGGGACUGAGACACGGCCCAGACUCCUACGGGAGGCAGCAGUAGGGAAUCUUCCGCAAUGGACGAAAGUCUGACGGAGCAACGCCGCGUGAGUGAUGAAGGGUUUCGGCUCGUAAAACUCUGUUGUUAAGGAAGAACACUUGAGGUAGUAACUGGCCUUGAGAUGACGGUACUUAACCAGAAAGCCACGGCUAACUACGUGCCAGCCGCCGCCGUAA
rnacentral:rRNA from 1 species